rnacentral:rRNA from 1 species
GUGAGGAAUAUUGGUCAAUGGGCGGAAGCCUGAACCAGCCAUGCCGCGUGCAGGACGACGGCCCUAUGGGUUGUAAACUGCUUUUGUGCGGGAAGAAUAACCCCCUCGUGAGGGGGGAUGCCGGUACCGCACGAAUAAGGAUCGGCUAACUCCGUGCCAGCAGCCGCGGUAAUACGGAGGAUCCAAGCGUUAUCCGGAUUUACUGGGUUUAAAGGGUGCGUAGGCGGGUCGUUAAGUCGGCGGUGAAAUGCGGGGGCUCAACCUUCGAGCUGCCGCCGAAACUGGCGACCUUGAAUUCGGUCGAGGCUGGCGGAAUGCGUGGUGUAGCGGUGAAAUGCUUAGAUAUCACGCGGAACGCCGAUUGCGAAGGCAGCUGGCCGGGCCGAAAUUGACGCUGAGGCACGAAAGCGUGGGGAUCAAACAGGAUUAGAAACCCUUGUAGUCC